AUUGUUCUAUAGCUUUUUUAAUGGUUUGCUUAAAUCCGGAUCCAAAAAUAUCACUGUGAUGUGAACUUUUUUUUCUUUAAAAUUUUUUGGUUGAAGGUAUUAGGUUAUUUUCUUAUAGAGUUUCCCACAGUUGAAAUUUUGCUGAUUGCAUACCCAUGCUGUCAUUUAACAUAUCUUCUGUUUUCUCUUGUCUUAGUUAUAUAUUCCUGUAUAAUAAGUUGCCUCAAAUUUAGCAGCUUAAAAUAAUAAUUAACUUUACCUCACACAGUUUCUGUGGGUAAUGAAUUCAAGAGUGGCUUGUUGAGUGGUUAUGGCUAGGGGUCUAUCAUGAGAUUGCAUUCAAACUGUAAGCUGGGACUGCAGUGGAGGAAUUAGUCUCCACCUGUUGAAGGGAGGAGUAUCAAAGAAUUUGUAGACAUCUUUUUUUUUAAUAGUUAAACUUCUAAUUAAUUAUUUUAUUGAAGUAAAGUUAUUUAUAAUAAUAUAUUCGCUUAAGGUGUACUACAUAGUAUUUUUAUAGCUUAUACAACAUUUAAAGUUAAUAUAAAAUAUUGGCUGUAUUCCCUGUGCUGUACAGUAUAUCAUUGUAACUUACUUAUUUUAUACAUAGUAGUUUGUACCUCUUUAUCCCCUACCCCUAUUGUGCCGUCCCCUGCUUCCCUCUUCCCACUGGUAACCAUUAGUUUGUUCUCUGUAUGUGUAAGUUUGUUUCUGUUAUAUUCAUUCAUUUAUUUUUUAGAUUCCACAUAUAAGUGAUAGCAUAUAGUAUUUGUCUGACUUAUUUCUCUAGGAAUAAUACCCUCCAGGUCCAUCAGUGUUGUUGCAAAUGGCAAAAUUUCAUUCUUUUUUAUGGCUGAGUAGUAUUCCAGUCUGUGUGUGUGUGUGUGUGUGUGUGUGUGUGUGUGUGUGUGUGUGUGAUCUUCUUUAUCCAUUCAUCUGCUGAUGGACACCUAGGCUGCUUCCAUAUCUUGGCUAUUGUAAAUAAUGCUGAGCAGAACAUCGGGGUGCAUGUAUCUUUUUGAAUUAGUCUUUUCAUUUUCUUUGGAUAUGUACCCAGGAGUGGAAUUGCUUGAUCAUAUGGUAGUUCUGUUUUCGUUCUUUUGAGCAAUUUCCAUACCAUUUUCCGUCCUGGCUGAACCAGUUUACAUUUCCUCCAGCAGGGUACUAGGAUUCCCCUUUCUCCACAUCCUCUCGAGCAUUUGUUAUUUGUGGUCAUUUUGAUGAUAGCCAUUCUGACAGGCAUGAGGAUAUAUCUUUAUUGUAGUUUUGAUUUACAUUUCUCUCAUGAUUAGUGAUGUUGAGUAUCUUUUCAUGUGCCUGUUGGCCAUCUCUAAGUCUUCUUUGGAAAAAUGUCUGUUCGGGUCUUCUGCCCAUGUUUUAUUUGAGUUGUUUGUUUUUUUGAUAUUGAGUUGUAUGAGCUGUUUCAUAUUUUGGAUUCUCACGUCUUGUCAGUCAUAUCAUUUGCGAAUAAUUUCUCUCAUUCAGUAGGUUGUCUUUUUGUUUUGUCAAUGGUUUCCUUUAAUUAGGUCCCAAUUGUUUAUUUUUUGCUUUUGUUUCCUAUGCCUUAGGAGACAGAUCCCCAAAAAUAUUGGUAUGAUGUAUGCCAAAGAGUGUUCUGCCGACUUUUUCUUCUAGGAGUUUUAUGGUUUUCGGUCUUACAUUUGGUGUAGCCAUGUUUUUCUUCACUACACUUAUUUCUUAUAAAUUGGUAGUCAAAUGUAGACAAGGAUUGGCUACAUAGUUUGCAGAGCCCAGUGCAAAAUGAGAAUAUGGGGCCGUUGUUCAAAUUUCAAGAUGGGGACAGCAGAACAUUAAACCAAAGAUGGGGUCUUUCUGAGUACAGAGCCCUGGGUGAUUGCACAGAUGAUGAAAUCAACCCUGGAUGUAGAGGCUUGAUCAGAUUCACAUUUGAUUCUCAUACACUUUUUUUUCUCCUUACAGUACUACUUGAUAGAUGCUGAGUACUUUAUCUCUCCUGGUGAUGUUGGCAGCCAUUGGUGAUCAUUAGCUAGAUCUAUUAAUUAAUUAUAGAUUUAUUUAUCUAUUAGCCAUAAUACUUUCAAAAAGAGAACUUACCUUAAGUAUUUGGUUACCCUGACAUCUAAUACAUACAGGAAAAACAGUAAAACGCUUGGUUCAUUUGGAUAAUGAAUUGAUUCUCUAAUGUCUUUUAUUUAUUAUUAUUUUAAAGAUUGAUUUAUUAUUAUUUAUUUGUGGCUGUGUCGGGUCUUAGUUGCGGCAUGCAGGAUCUUUUGUUGUGGCUCAUGGGCUCUUUGCUGGGGUGUGCAGACUUCUCUCUAGUUGUGGCAUGCAGGUUUUCUCUCUCUAGUUCUGGUGCACAGGAUUCAGGGCACGUGGGCUCUGUAUUUUGCAGCAUGCAGGCUCUCUAGUUGAGGCGAGUGAGCUCCGUAGUUGUGGAGCACGGGCUUAGUUGCCCCGUGGCAUGUGGGAUCUUAGUUCCCUGACCAGUGUCCCCUGCAUUGGAAGGCAGAUUCUUUAACACUUGACCACCAGGGAAGUCACUCUAAUGUCUUUUAAAAAUGAUUGAUAAGUUUUUUUUUUAAUAUUAACAUAAACAUGGAUUUUUUUAUGUAUUGUAAUCCAUUGUAGUUAUUACCCUUAUUGAUACUCAUUGUCUCUCUCUUUUUUUUUUUUUUUUUUUUUUUUGUGGUACGCGGGCCUCUCCCGUUACGGAGCACAGGCUCCGGACGCGCAGGCUCAGCGGCCAUGGCUCACGGACCUAGCCGCUCUGCGGCACAUGGGAUCUUCCCAGACCGGGGCAGGAACCCGUGUUCCCUGCAUCGGCAGGCGGACUCUCAACCACUGCGCCACCAGGGAAGCCCCAUUGUCUCAUUUUAAACUAGCAUUUAAGUAGUCUUUGGUUUUCUGAUGGUAAGAUAUUCCAGGUUUAUUGUGUAUAUUUCCUUCCUCAGACCCGAAAUUAGCCAUUUUUCUAAAGAGCUUUGUUUACUUUUUCAGAAGUGGUAUUAUAUAGACUAUAAUACACAUAGAGAGUAAUCUUGGCAUUAGCGCAGUUCAUUUCUACUGGUUUGAUCAUUGUUUGUUCAGUGAACAGAGCUAAGAAGUAAGUAUAUGUUAAUUCCAUUCAUCAUAUUCUGCAAAUUGAUACUUCAGAUCUAGGACUACAUUUUUAAAAUUCAACUUCAGUGAUCUUACAUUUGUGUAUUUCCUUUAUUAUAUGCUGAAAAUCCUACUUCUCAGUGAUGCUAACUAUAACACAUUUGUUUUAUACAAGAGUCACACACAGUAGUCUCACAAUAACAAUUUCUACAUUACCAUUAAUAAUAUUAGUAAAAACGUUUAAAAAUUUUCCUCCCUCAGUUCUUUUUGUAUAUUUAGGUAUAUAUUUCACUAGGGUUAUACAGUCAAGUUGCUAUGUUUUAAAGUCACUUGAAUGUACAGGAUCAUGUGUUUCAUUUUCAGUCUUCUAAGGAUUUUUAAAUUUUAAUUUUGCUUUAUAAUUAUCAGAGUGUUUACAUGAUUCAAAGUUAGAUGUUAAAAAAAUAUUCAGAGAAAUCUGGCUUCUGUUCCCUGUUCAUCCUAUUUUCUCGCUCUCCGAAGGGAAGUUUUUUUUAAUAGUUUUUUAAAGUUUGUUUUAAACAUAAGCAUAUAUAUUUUCAAAGCCCGCCCUUAGAUAAAUAAAAGAAUAGUGUAUACGGUUUUCCUGUAUCUUUUUCACUUAAUGUAUCCUGGAGAUAAUUCUAUAAGAGUAUAUAGAGCUAGUCCUCGUUUCUCUUCACAGCAACCAUGUUGAUGUACCAUGGUUUAUUCAGCCUUUCCCCCUAUUGACGGACAUUUGGAUUAUUUCCAGUCUUUUGCUAUUACAACGGGUGCUGCAGUGAACAGCUUCGUGCUCUUUGUAUUUUUGCCUGUUUCACUUUGGAAGAUUCCUAGAAGUGGAAUUGCUGUGUCAAAAGGUAAAUGCACAUGCAAGUUUGCUAGAUACUGCCAAAUUCCCCUUCAUAGGUAAGUAGUAUAUACCAGUAAUGUAUGAGACUGCCAUUAGAGAAAGUUGUCAAACAUUUGGGUAUUUGCCAACCUCAUAGGUUAGAAAUAUGUAUCAGUAUAGUUUCAGUUUGCAUUUCUCUAAUGGAACAUCUUUUCAUAUUGAUUGGAGGAAUGGAUCCAGUUUUUAAAAUUUUUAUUUUGGCUGCAUUGGGUCUUCAUUGCUACGCACCGGCUUUCUCUAGUUGCAGUGAGCAGGGGCUAUUCUUCAUUGCGGUGCUCGGGCUUCUCACUUCGGUGGCUUCUCUUGUUGUGGAGCAUGGGCUCUAGGCACGUGGGCUUAACUAGUUGCAGCAUGCGGGCUCAGUAGUUGUGGCUUGCGGGCUCUAGAGCGCAGGCUCAGUAGUUGUGGCGCACGGGCUUAGUUGCUUGGCAGCAUGUGGGAUCUUCCUGGACCAGGGCUCGAACCUGUGUCCCCUGCAUUGGCAGGCGGAUUCUUAACCACUGCGCCACGAGGGAAGUCCCUGGAUCCAGUUUUAAUGAUUUCUGUAAAACUGUCAGGUUAUUCUAACAACAUUUAUUAGAAAAUUCAUCUUUUCCCUAUUUAUUGAGAUACUACUAUUUUUUAAAACAUCUUUAUCGGAGUAUAAUUGCUUUACACUGUUAUGCUAGUUGCUGCUGUAUAACAAAGUGAAUCCUCUAUAUGUAUACAUAUAUCCCCUCCCUCUUGUGUCUGCCUUCAACCAUCCCUACCCCACCCCUCUAGGUGGGCACAAAGCAUGAGCUGAUCUCCCUGUGCUAUGAGGCUGCUUCCCACUAGCUAUCUGUUUUACAUUUGGUGGUGUAUAUAUGUCCAUGCCACUCUCUCACUUGGUAUCAGCUUACCCUUCCCUCUCCCCAUGUCCUCAAGUCCAUUCUCUAUGUCUACGUCUUUAUCCCUGUCCUGCCUCUAAGGUCUUGAGAACCUUUAGAUUCCAUAUAUAUGUGUUAGCAUACGGUAUUUGUUUUACUCUUUCUGACUUACUUCACUCUGUAUGACAGACGCUAGGUCCAUCCACCUCGCUACAAAUAACUCAAUUUAGUUUCUUUUUAUGGCUGAGUAAUAUUCCAUUGUAUAUAUACGUGCCACAUCUUCUUUAUCCAUUCAUCUGUUGAUGUACACUUAGGUUGCUUCCAUGUCCUGGCUAUUGUAAACAGAGCUGCAGUGAACAUUGUGGUACAUGACUCUUUUUGAAUUAUGGUUGUCUCAGGGCAUAUGCCCAGUAGUGGAAUUAGAGGGUCAUAUGGUAGUUCUAUUUUGAGUUUUUUAAGGAACCUACAUACAGUUUUCCAUAGUGGGGUAUCAGUUUACAUUACCAUUAACAGUGCAAGAGGGUACCCUUUUCCCUACACCCUCCCCAGCAUUUAUUGUUUGUAGAUUUUUAAAUGAUGGCCAUUCGGACUCGUGUGAGGUGAUACCUCAUUGUAGUUUUGAUUUGCAUUUCUCUAAUGAUUAGUGAUGUUGAGCAUCCUUUCAUGUGUUUGUUAGCAAUCUGUAUAUCUUCUUUGGAGAAAUGUCUAUUUAGGUCUUCUGCCCAUUUUGAGAUUGGGUUGUUUGAUUUUUGGAUAUUGAGGUGCAUGAGCUGCUUGUGUAUUUUAGAGAUUAUUCCUUACUCAGUUGCUUUGUUUGCAAAUAUUUUCUCCCAUUCAGAGGGUUGUCUUUUCAUCUUUUUUAUGGUUUCCUUUGCUGUACAAAAGCUUUUAAGUUUCCUUAGGUCCCAUUUAUUUAUUUUUGUUUUUAUUUCCCUUUCUCUAGGAAGUGGGUAAAAAAGGAUCUUGCUGUGAUUUAUGUCAUAGAGUGUUCUGCCUAUGUUUUCCUCUAAGAGUUUUAUAGUGUCUGGCCUUACAUUUAGGUCUGCAAUCAGUUUUGAGUUUAUUUUUGUGUAUGGUGUUAGGGAGUGUUCUAAUUUUAUUCUUUUUUUUUUUUUUUUUUUUUUGCGGUAUGCGGGCCUCUCAUCGUUGUGGCCUCUCCCGUCGCGGAGCACAGGCUCCGGACGCGCAGGCCCAGCGGCCACGGCCCACGGGCCCAGCCACUCCGCAGCACGUGGGAUCCUCCCGGACCAGGGCACGAACCCGUGUCACCUGCAUCGGCAGGCAGACUCCCAACCACUGCGCCACCAGGGAAGCCCUAAUUUUAUUCUUUUACAUGUAGCUGUCCAGUUUUUCCAGCAUCACUCAUUGAAGAGGCUGUCUUUUCUCCAUUGUAUAUUCUUGCCUGCUUUAUCAAAGAUAAGGUGACCAUAUGUGCGUGUGUUAUCUCUGGGCUUUCUAUCUUGUUCCGUUGAUCUAUAUUUCUGGUUUUUUGCCAGUACCAUACUGUUUUGAUUACUCUAGCUUUGUAGUAUAGUCUGAAGUCAGGGAGCCUGAUUCCUCCAGUUCCGUUUCUCUUUCUCAAGAUUGCUUUGGCUAUUCGGGGUCUUUUGUGUUUCCAUACAAAUUGUGAAAGUUUUUGUUUGAGUUCUGUGAAAAAUGCCAUUGGUAGUUUGAUAGGGAUUACAUUGAAUCUGUAGAUUGCUUUGGGUAGUAUAGUCAUUUUCACAAUGUUGAUUCUUCCAAUCCAAAAACAUGGUAUAUCUCUCCAUUUGUAUCAUCUUUAAUUUCUUUCAUCAGUGUCUUAUAGUUUUCUGCAUACAGGUCUUUUGUCUCCUUAGGUAGGUUUAUUCCUAGGUAUUUUAUUCUUUUUGUUGCAGUGGUAAAUGGGAGUGUUUCCUUAAAUUCUCGUUCAGAUUUGUCAUCAUUAGAGUAUAAGAAUGCAUGAGAUUUCAAUGCAUUAAUUUUGUAUACUGCUACUUUACCAAAUUCAUUGAUUAGCUGUAGUACUUUUCUGGUAGCAUCUUUAGGAUUCUCUAUGUAUAGUAUCAUGUCAUCUGCAAACAAUGACAGCUUUACUUCUCCUUUUCUGUUUGGAAUUACUUUUAUUUCUUUUUCGUCUCUGACUGCUGUGGCUAAAACUUCCAGAACUAUGUUGAAUAAUAAUGGUGAGAGUGGACAGCCUUGUGUUGUUCCUGAUCUUAGUGGAAAUGGUUUCAGUUUUUCACCAUUGAGAAUGAAGUUGGCUGUGAGUUUGUCAUAUAUGACCUUUAUUAUGUUGAGGUAAGUUCCCUCUGUGCCUACUUUCUGGAGAGUUUUUAUCUUAAAUGGGUGUUGAAUUUUGUCGAAAGCUUUCUCUGCAUCUAUUGAGAUGAUCAUAUGGUUUUUCUUCAAUUUGUUAAUAUGCUUUAUCACAUUGAUUGAUUUGCAUAUACUGAAAAAUCCUUGCAUUCCUGGGAUAAACCCCACUUGAUCAUGGUGUAUGGUCCUUUUAAUGUGCUGUUGGAUUCUGUUUGCUAGUAUUUCGUUGAGGAUUCUUACAUGUAUGUGCAUCAGUGAUACUGGCCUGUAGUUUUCUUUCUUUGUGACAUCUGUGCAUGGUUUUGGUAUCAGGGUGAUGGUGGCCUCGUAGAAUAAGUUUGAGAGUUUCCUCACUCUGCUAUAUUUUGGAAGAGUUUGAGAAGGAUAGGUGUCAGCUCUUCUCUAAAUGAUUGAUAGAAUUCGCCUGUGAAGCCAUCUGGUCCUGGGCUUUUUUUUGUUGGAAGAUUUUUAAUCACAGCCUCAAUUUCAGUGCUUGUGAUUGGUCUGUUUAUAUUUUAGAUUUGUUCCUGGUUCAGUCUCGGAAGGUUGUGCUUUUCUAAGAAUUUGUCCAUUUCUUCCAGGUUGUCCAUUCUAUUGGCAUUUAGUUGCUUGUAGGAAUCUCUCAUGAUCCUUUGUAUUUCUGCAGUGUCAGUUGUUACUUCUCCGUUUUCAUUUCUAAUUCUAUUGAUUUGAGUCUUCUCCCUUUUUUUCUUGAUGAGUCUGGCUAAUGGUUUAUCAAUUUUGUUUAUCUUCUCAAAGAACCACCUUUUAGUUUUAUUGAUGUUUGCUAUUGUUUAUUUCUGUUUCAUUUAUUUCUGAUCUGAUCUUCAUGAUUUCUUUCCUUCUGCUAACUUCGGGAUUUUUUUUGUUCUUCUUCCUCUAAUUGCUUUAGAUGUAAGGCUAGGUUUUUUAUUUGAGAUGUUUCUUGUUUCUUGAGGUAGGAUUGUAUUGCUAUAAACGUCCCUCUUAAAGUGCUUUUGCUGCAUCCCAUAUGUUUUGGGUUGUCAUGGUUUCAUUGUCAUUUGUUUCUAGGUAUUUUUUGAUUUCCUCUUUGAUUUCUAUGGUAAUCUCUUGGUUAUUAAGUAGUGUAUUGUUUAGCCUCCAUGUGUUUGUAUUUUUUACAGUUUUUUUCCUGUAAUUGAUAUCUAGUUUCAUAGCAGUGUAGUCAGAAAAGAUACUUGAUAUGAUUUCAAUUUUUUUAAUUUACCAAGGCUUGAUUUGUGACCCAAGAUAUGAUCUAUUUUGGAGAGUGUUCCAUGAGCACUUGAGAAGAAAGUGUAUUCUGUUGUUUUUGGAUGGAUUGUUCUAUAAAUAUCAAUUAUGUCCAUCUUGUUUAAUGUAUCAUUUAAAGCUUGUGUUUCCUUAUUUAUUUUCAUUUUGGAUGAUCUGUCCAUUGGUGAAAGUGGGAUGUUAAAGUCCCCUACUAUGAUUGUGUUACUUUCGAUUUCCCCUUUUAUGGCUGUUAGCAUUUGCCUUAUGUGUUGAGGUGCUUCUAUGUUGGGUGUAUAAAUAUUUACAAUUGUUAUAUCUUCAUGUUGGAUUGAUCCCUUGAUCAUUAUGUAGUGUUCUUCAUUGUCUCUUGUAACAGUCUUUAUUUUAAAGUCUGUUUUGUCUGAUAUGAGAAUUGCUAGUCCAGCUUUGUUCUGAUUUCCAUUUGCAUGGAAUAUCUUUUUCCACCUCCUCAGUUUCAGUCUGUAUGUGUCCCUAGGUCUGAAGUGGGUCUCUUGUAGACAGCAUAUAUACAGGUCCCAUUUUUGUAUCCAUUCAGCCAGUCUAUGGCUUUUGGUUGGAGCAUUUAAUCCAUUUACAUUUAAGGUAAUUACCAUUUCUUAAUUGUUUUGGGUCUGUUACUGUAGGUCUUUUCCUUCUCUUGUGUUUCCUUCCUAGAGAAGUUCCUUUAGCAUUUGUUGUAAAGCUGGUUUGGUAGUGCUGAAUUCUCUUAGCUUUUGCUUGUCUGUAUAGGUUUUAAUUUCUCCUUCGAAUCUGAAUGAGAUCCUAGCUUGGUAAUCUUGGUUGUAGGUUUUCCCCUUUCAUCACUUUAAAUAUGUCCUGCCACUUCCUUCUGGCUUUCAGAGUUUCUGUUGAAAGAUCAGCUGUUAACCUUAUGGGGAUUCCCUUAUAUGUUAUUUAUUGCUUUUCCCUUGCUGCUUUUAAUGUUUUUUAUUUGUGUUUAAUUUUCUUUUUUUUUUUUUUUGCGGUAUACGGGCCUCUCACUGUUGUGGCCUCUCUCGUUGCGGAGCACAGACUCCGGACGCGCAGGCUCAGCAGCCAUGGCUCACGGGCCUAGCCACUCCGCGGCAUGUGGGAUCUUCCCAGACUGGGGCACGAACCUGUGUCCCCUGCAUCGACUGCUUCCUGCUUUGAAUGUGAACCUGAGGCUUAGGAUGCUGUGGGAGCCAGAAGUGACAAGCAUGAAGAUAAAGCCAAGGAGCGGAGGGCAGAGGAGGGAAAACAGAGAGCAGGCAUCCCUGGCAGCCUGGUCCAGCUGCCGAACUGGCCCUGUACUGCCCCCGCUGGACUUCCUGUGUUGGGAGGGAAAUAAACCCUCUGUUUAAGCCACCAAAAAGCAGGAUUUUCUGCUACCUUUGGCUGAGCACUCGCCUUACUGGGAUGGAGGUUUGGGUACUUAGAGUCUUGUCACAGUUAUUCACAAAUGGCCCUGGGACAGUUGUAUUUGUUCUCCUCUGGCCACAUGUUUCAGGGAAAUUGUGCCAGAUUCUAACUCGAUUUGCUUGUAGUGUUUGACUGGAAUCUCCAGGGGGCACGUGCAGUCUGGCCUCUGUUAACUGAUUCUUUGUGUGGUAUGCAGUCAGCUCCCAGAGGUGGGCCUACUUCUCCUCCCUGUCAUGACCAAGAGGCAGCACAGAACUUUCACCAACAGCAGUAUGUGUUUCUUAAACUGUGUCCUGUCCAGGGUCUCACUUCCUGGUGGGCUUCCCGAGACAUCUGCCUAGUCUGGUUUCACUAAGGACUUAAAACCCUUCAGGGAACCAUUUUCACCCUGUCUGGUUAGCUUUUCUGUUUUACGUAGCCUGGGGCACUGGUUGAGCCGAGGUAACCCAAACACUGCAGAGGAGGUGUACUGGGGAGAUGACACUGGGUUUAGGUGUCCCACUGUUGUAUUUAUAUCAUUUGUUAAACACAAAUUAUUUCCAUCCCACCUUGAUGGUGGGUGUCAUUUCUUGCAUAGACAGUCAUGUUCGCCUACUCACUGAUGUCCUUGUCACCAAUUUCCCCCUUCCCAAGCCAUCCUGUUUACUAUAACCAGGGUAGCCUUUCUGAAGGAUCUGGCAGAGGAGCACUCAAAUUCCUGGACAUGGAUUGGCUCACAUUAGUAAUAGGUAGGACUAUGCCUGCCAAUAUGCUCCUUGGUCCUGUGUCCUGUCCCAGCUGGUGAGCUGAGCAGGAGGCUGCCUUCCCUGUUUGGGCGUAGCCACCUUACUGUUUCUCUUCCUCUGAAGUCUCUGCAGGGCUGUCAGUGUCACUUGGUCCCUACCUUGCUGGAAGAGACCUGGAAAGGCCAGCCCUGUGUUAAGCCUAAACUGUGUGCUUUAGCCCAGUUUAAUAAAAAUCUCUGCAGUGGAAUGAGGAGCACAAGUCCAGCCCAUACUAAUCAAAUGGGUCAUGUUUCCCAUUUUCUCUUGUCUCGUGGGAGUUUAUCGCCAUCAAGAACAUCCCAUGGAAGAGAAUCCAAAACAGGAUUCAGGUACCCUGAGUCCUCUAGUCAAGUAACAGUUACUAAUACUCCAAAGCCCUUCUAAGCCUUACAGCUUAUUAUUAUAACUAAUAUUACAAAUUAUUAUUAUGCCAUCUUAUUAUUACCUUGAUUCUCUCUGUCUAGAGAAGGGGUUACAAAUCUAAAUUUGUAGCCUUUGGAAGCCAGGCAGGUAACAUGAAUGAACAAAGCAAACCAUCAUGUGUCUCCCCCCUAUCUCUUGUUCUUCUGUCUGUGACAGACACAUGGGUUCAGAGAAACAUUUCUCUCAACUACAUGAAAAACAAGGUCAGGUUCAAUGACAAAUGGCAGCUGAGACUCAUCUUGGUCUUGGAAAGACCGUAGGGAAUUUCAGGGACUGUGGCAACUGAAAAGUGAGUGCUCUGUGUGGGGAAGCUGACUGCUACUCAUAUCCAACUGAUCUAAGUCCAUGUGGGUAUACAGGCCUACUGUCACCAGCAGUUCUAUAUUAAAAAAAACCUCCAGAUUUCAGAUUUUUGGGGGGAAGGGAGAAAUUCCUCAAUUUUAAAUAUUAUCUCAAUGUUUUAAAAAACAAACAGUGUGUGGGUCAAUUAAAAAUGUCUGGGAGCCACCAUAUUUUGCCCUUUGGCUCAGAAGAUGAAGCUCGGACCACUUUGCUUGACACAUAAACUUCUUCAUGAAUCUACCUGUGCCACCUCUUGCUUCAUUUCCUACCUCUCUCUAGACAUUCUGUAGCCGCUCAGUGCUACAUUUCGUACUUUCACCUUUUCUGGCCCCAUGCUUUUGCAUGUGCUGUUCGUUGGACUGUCCUUCCCUGGCUGAUUAAUUUUGUAAAUAGUUCAUUCUUACAUAUCCACAUCAAAACCAUCUCCUGUUUCAAGUCUUUUGUAACCUCCCUGCCACCUCCCAACCAGGCAGAGAUACAGUGUCUCUUUUCUCUGGGUUUUCUGAGCAAAGUACACAGUCUUCUUACAGAACUUAACAGAAUCUCUUGUAAUGAUCAGGUGCAUGCUCGUCUUCCCUGCUCAUCACUGAGGCUGUGCCUAUGCGUCCCCAGCACUCAGCACGGUGUUUGGCCCAGGGUCAGUUCUCAGUGACUACUGUGUGAAUAGAUGAAUAAACAAAUUCACUAUGCACUACACUUAUGUUAGAGUUAAUUUUCUUGCAAGAUGCCUUCACAUUUGUUGCAAUAAAAUAUUUGUGCAUGUGUGACAUUAGUUAUCACUUUACGGUGCCCACUUUCAAUGGGUAAAACAUAACUAACUUGUCUUAGGAGUAUUUAUAUGUUGCUGACCUCUCAAGGUGGUACUACUCUUUUCCAAAGGAAGACAUCUGAAGUGGUAUCCUUACUCCGGAGCUAAAACAUUAAAAUUUAAUGGAAUAGCUUCAUGCUUUGUUAAGAGCUUAUCUGAUCAAGAAGGGAUAAGAAAGGGAGGAGGGAUGAUAUGGGGACUUUUUUUUUUUUACACCAUUCUUUCUCCAAUGCUAUGGCAGGAUUAACAGGAGAGUUAAAACAAGGAUGAAUAUGUAUGCUGUAUCCACUGACAAAGCAGUAAAAAGUAGUUAGCUGUGAAAUUCCAUUCGUAUUUGUUUACUAUUCUAAGUACACUUCCAACCCCUCCCUCUGGCCACCCAUGCCACUUGACAUUUUUCUCAUCUGACAGCUUGGAGGUAGGAAUUUUGUGAAUGUCUCUCUUGGGGUUAGUUUUCAAAGAAAAGGAAAGCAUGCUAAGUGCAAUGGCUAAAUUGUAAAUUUCAUCAAACUUGUAACUUAAAUAAGACCCCAAUAAUAAUAGGCUGAAAUCUUGUCAGGCUGUGUUGGGUCUGCUUUGUUUUACAUGGAUUAUGACAGUGGAACCACAAAACAUAGCCUUUUGAGUGCUUUUACCCAUUAGCUUCAUCAAGUAAUUGCCGUCUUGUAGUUAUCAAUAACAAUGAAGCUUGACACCUUGGGAAGGAGAAGUGAAUCUUUCCCCUUACAGAUCUGGCAGGAAAGAAAAGUGCCUUGAUGAAUGUACUGCGGGCAUAUGAGUGUUCAGAGCCCAGAGAAAGGAAGUAAGAUGAGUGCACAAUGGAGUAGCUUUGACUUGCUUACAUUAAGAACACUCGUUUCAUUUCUCCAUGGUCCUCUUGACUUGUUCAGCAUCCAAUAGGAUCUCAGGAGGCUCCCUGCUGGUCAUCUCUGCAUGAGUAUUCUUCAGAAAAUGCUAUUUCUUGAAAAUGUAAAUUAAAAAAAAAAAAAAACUGGUGGUAAGAGUGGGAAAACAAA